rnacentral:rRNA from 1 species
UACGUAGGGGCAAGCGUUGUCCGGAAUUACUGGGCGUAAAGCGCACGCAGGCGGAAUUGUAAGUCCGUUGUAAAAUUCAGAGGCUCAACCUCUGUCUGUCGGCGGAUACUGCAAAUCUAGAGUAUGUGAGAGGGAAGUGGAAUUCCUGGUGUAGCGGUGAAAUGCGUAGAUAUCAGGAGGAACUCCGGUGGCGAAGGCGACUUCCUGGCACAAGACUGACGCUCAUGUGCGAAAGCUAGGGUAGCGAACGGGAUUAGAUACCCCU